CCUACGGGGUGCAGCAGUGAGGAAUAUUGGUCAAUGGGCGCAAGUCUGACCCAGCAACGCCGCGUGCAGGAAGAAGGCUCUCGGGUUGUAAACUUCUUUUAAGAGGGAAGAGAAGAAGAGGGUGCCUCUUGAUUAGUCCAUGGCUAAUUACGUGCCAGCGGCUGCGGCAAUACGGAGGUGGCAAGUGUUGUCCGGAUUUAUUGGGUGUAAAGGGCGUGUAGCCUGGCUGUUAAGUCAGUUGUGAAAUUCCGGGGCUCAACCCCGGUACUGCAUUUAAAACUGUUUGUCUUGAGUGUAGGAGAGGUAGGCGGAAUUCCUAGUGUAGCGGUGAAAUGCGUAGAUAUUAGGAGGAACACCAGUGGCGAAGGCGGCCUGCUGGACGGUAACUGACGUUGAGGCGCGAAAGCGUGGGGAGCAAACAGGAUUAGAUACCCUGGUAGUC
rnacentral:rRNA from 1 species